rnacentral:rRNA from 1 species
GUCCACGCCGUAAACUAUGGGCACUAGAUGGAUGUCGAGCUAUCGAUGUCUGUCGGAGGCAAUUUGGUAAGUGCCCCGCCUGGGGAGUAUGGUCGCAAGGCUGAAACUCAAAGGAAUUGACGGGGGCUCACACAAGCGGUGGAGGAUGUGGUUUAAUUCGAAGCAACGCGCAGAACCUUACCAGGUCUUGACAUACCGGGAUUAUUUCCGUGAAAGCGGGAAAAUUCUCAGCAAUGAGGUAACCGGAACAGGUGCUGCAUGGCUGUCGU